GAUUUAUUGAUUCAUCAUUGUUGCUUGGGGGAAGAUGCUGCAGACACACAGUGUGGGUUAACACCAUAGAAGGAAAAGACUUGAGACCAAACAUCAACUCUUUCACAACUACAAAGCAGAACUAAAAACCACACACUUUUCUGAGAAAUAUAAAUUAGUACACUGUAAACUUUAUCAUUUCCCUUACAGCCUUCUGAAGCAGAAGUCCAGUAAAGAGCAUCACAGCAGAGCAGACAGCCUCCUAACAGCUCUCAUACAGGACUGCAGCAGGACUUUAAACAUUUGUUCAGGAUGAACAGAAAUCCACAGGAGGAAAUUGAGGAAAUCGAUGAAGAAGAAGAUGACUAUGUUAAUGCAGCAGCCUGGACUGUGGAUAAAGUGGCAGCCCCUCCAGACCAGAGGUCUCUCUUCUUCACUCAGUCUUUUCCACUGAUAGCAGUGUGUUGGCUGAUACUGUUAGUCAUCAUGGGCCUUCGUAUCCACUUU